ensembl:misc_RNA Metazoa_SRP Metazoan signal recognition particle RNA
GCUGGGCAUGGUGGCUCAUGCCUGUAAUCCCAGCACUUUGGGAGGCUGAGGUGGGUGGAUUGCUUGAGGUCAGGAGUUUGAGACCAGCCUGGCCAACAUGGUAAACCCCCAUCUCUA